UUUCCGUAGGUGAACCUGCGGAAGGAUCAUUAAAGAGUAAGGGUCUUCGGGCCCGAUCUCCAACCCUUUGUUUAACUACCAUGUUGCUUUGGCGGGCCCGUCUCACGACCGCCGGAAGUUUGGCUUCGACCAAACUUCUGGCCCGUGCCCGUCAGUGGCCCCUUCAAAUUCUUGAUCAAGUAUGAUGUCUUAGUUGAAAACUUAAUAGUUAAAACUUUCAACAACGGAUCUCUUGGUUCUG
rnacentral:misc_RNA from 1 species